rnacentral:lncRNA from 1 species
AUGCGCAGAGCGGGCGGGGGUCGCGGCGGGGCCGGGGGCUGCGCGGAGCGGAGCGGGGCCGGAGCGUGCGGUUCCGGGCGAGUCAGCCCUCAGCCAUUUUGCGCUGCCCUAUUGGAGAGCGGAGCGCAGCGCAGGGAAACGAGGAAAAAAAAAGGGAAAAAAAAAGGAAAAAGAAAAAAAAGAGGCCGACCCCCCCCCGCCCCCUCCCGUCGGAAGAACGUCGCCUCGCCGCCGCUCCCUGCCCCCGCCCCGCUGGGGGCUGCGGGCUCCGGCCCCGUGUCCCCGCGUCCCGUCGGGGCCGCUCGGCACAGAUCAGCUCGGUACAGCUCAGCUCAGCUCGGCACAGCACAGCUCAGCACAGCCCCCCGCGGCCGCCCCCGCCGCCUCCUGCCAUCUUGCGCUGCCCGGCGGCCCCACGCCCGGCCUUCCUCCCGCCGCCCCCGGGAGGCGGCCGCGGCCGGCGGGGGGAGGAGGGGGGGGGAGCGGAUCCCCGGGAGCUGCGGGGUUGGGGCGGGGGGAGAGAGCGGGGCGGCGCCUCGGAGCCGGCUCAGCCCCGGCGCUGGGGGCCCGGAGGGGCGGCCAUGGGGGCGGCGGCCGCGGGGAGACAGCGACCGGGGGCGGGGGGAGGCGGGCGCGUCCCGCCCCGGAGCCGCAGCCGCUGAGUUGCCGGUGGGGCCGACGGGCGCUGCCGCCACCGCCUCGGAGCCGCCCCGCGCUGCGCUGCGCUGCGAGCCGGCACGGAACGGCACGGCCAGAUACGGCACGGCCCGACACGCGUCACCGCGGUCCGCCCCGACGGCGGGCGGUGCUGCCUUAAAGCGGCGAUGGAGCUGCGGGGCCACGAGCGGCAUGGCCAAGACAAUGUCCCUGGAUGAACAGCAACAAAACCCACCCAGCUCCUUGCACAUCCCUUCCCUCCCCCACCUUCAGCUUCCACCCUUCCCCUCUCUGGCCUUAAAGGAAUUUAUUACGGAGGAGCAUAAAGAAGAUGACAGCAAAACCGUUCAGUGUUACUGGGAACUCAUCGCACCGUUAGCACAGCACUAUCUCAUCCCAGCACCCACAGAGAAGGACACGGAGAAGUACGCAAAUACCUUUAAUGCACUUAGGAUACAAGGGAGGAGAAAAAACGUUUAGUGAUCCACAAAAAUAUUACAAAAGUCACGUGCAGGCGAAACGUACCCGGCACUGAAAUAACCAUGUAAGAAUUUACAUUAGAAACUAAUAUAAAAUAUUUUAAAACCUCUGCUAGUUUAGCUUUCUGUUUUGUCUUUUAUUUAAAAAAAAAAACAAAAAACAAAAAACAAAACAAAAAAACACAACAAAAAACAACAAAAAAACCAAAAGAAAGCAGGGAGUGGGGUGGGGAAUAAAGGCCAUCUCCAAGGUCCCGACGUGUCGCCG